UUGGUUUUCAAGGAUUUGGUGGGAAAUUUUCAGAAAUGACGCUUUUAUUUAUUUAUUAGAAGUAUCUUUUCUCCAAACAUUUUGUCAUUGAUUUCUGAUUUUAAUAUGUAAUAUUGGUAUGAGGUCUAUGCCCAAAUUAAAUAUUGAUUUGUGGAAUUAGGUGGUUUUGACUUGUGUUUUCAUGUCCAAUUCAAUUGGUUUUGUCAAGCCUUACUAACGUAUACUCUAAUAACUCUAUUGCAGAUGAUUGAUGGCUGUGUACCAUUUUUAGCGAACCAACUGUGAGCAAUGUAGAGAAGAAGAGGAUUCUUCAUUUCCCUAUUGUUGGUGGUGGCCCAACUGGUGUGGAGUUUGCUGCAGAGCUUCAUGAUUUUGGAUGUGUACCAUUUCUAGAGGCAGGAGGUCAUAUUCUGGGAAUGUUUGACAAAAGAAUUACAGCUUUUGUUGAACAAAAGUUUCAAAAAACCUUAAACAAGUGUUGCUUCAUUGAGCACAGGCUAAUAGGCGAGCACUGGCGACUGAUGAAUGGCUGUGAGUUGAGGGAUGUGAUAACGUAUAUGCCCUUGGUGAUUGUGCUACCAUCAAUCAGCAAAAAGUCAUUGUACCUGCCUCUUGUUUUUUCUUAUAUAUCAAACUUUCUAGUUGUUGCAUUAUUAUCUUGAAGAGUUAGCUGUCAUAUAAGUAUUUUCUUCUAUAGUUGUGUAAAUUUCCAACACAAUUGUAUUCUCUUUUUCCAACUCCUGUGUUGUUUUUCUUCCAUGAUGGAAAAACGUAGUAUCCUGUACUGAUUUUCCUCAAGAAAUUUAGUAUAAUUAACCAUCCUUUAACCAGAAGAAAUACAUUUGUCCAUACUAGAAAUAUAGGCUUAACGAUUAAAUUCUAUUAAAAUUGUUCCAUGUGUUGA